rnacentral:piRNA from 1 species
UGUCCAGGAGCUGCUUCCAGGUUGCCUGGGA